CAGAGGGUGCAAGCGUUGUUCGGAAUUACUGGGCGUAAAGGGCGCGUAGGCGGUUUACCAAGUCAGAUGUGAAAGCCUGGGGCUUAACCCCAGAAGUGCAUUUGAAACUGGUAGGCUAGAGUGCAGUAGAGAAUGGCGGAAUUCCCAGUGGAGAGGUGAAAUUCGUAGAUAUUGGGAGGAACACCGGUGGCGAAGGCGGCCAUUUGGGCUGUAACUGACGCUGAGGCGCGAGAGCGUGGGUAGCAAACAGGAUUAGAUACCCUGGUAGUCCACGCUGUAAACUAUGGAUACUCGCUGUGGCUGGUAUUGACCCCGGCCGUAGCCAAGUUAACACGUUAAGUAUCCCGCCUGGGGAGUACGGUCGCAAGAUUA
rnacentral:rRNA from 1 species